GACAGAGGGGGCAAGCGUUGUCCGGAAUUACUGGGCGUAAAGCGCACGUAGGUGGCGCGUUGCGUCGGUGCUGAAAGCGCCGGGCUUAACCCGGCGAGGUGCGCCGAUACGAGCGCGCUCGAGGCAGGGAGAGGGUGGCGGAAUUCCGGGUGUAGUGGUGAAAUGCGUAGAGAUCCGGAGGAACGCCAGUGACGAAGGUGGCCACCUGGCCCUCGCCUGACACUGAGGUGCGAUAGCGUGGGGAGCGAACCGGAUUAGAAACCCCAGUAGUCC
rnacentral:rRNA from 1 species